UACGGGGGGAGCAAGCGUUGUUCGGAUUUACUGGGCGUAAAGGGCGCGUAGGCGGCCAGCACAAGUCAGUUGUGAAAUCUCCGAGCUUAACUCGGAAAGGUCAACUGAUACUGUGCGGCUAGAGUGCAGAAGGGGCAACUGGAAUUCUUGGUGUAGCGGUGAAAUGCGUAGAUAUCAAGAGGAACACCUGCGGCGAAGGCGGGUUGCUGGGCUGACACUGGCGCUGAGGCGCGAAAGCUAGGGGAGCGAACGGG
rnacentral:rRNA from 1 species